AGUGGACGCUGGCGGUGGGCCUAACACGUGCAAGUCGAACGGCAGCACAGGAGAGCUUGCUCUCUGGGUGGCGAGUGGCGGACGGGUGAGGAAUACAUCGGAAUCUACUCUGUCGUGGGGGAUAACGUAGGGAAACUUACGCUAAUACCGCAUACGACCUACGGGUGAAAGCAGGGGACCUUCGGGCCUUGCGCGAUUGAAUUAGCCGAUGUCGGAUUAGCUAGUUGGCGGGGAAAAGGCCCACCAAGGCGACGAUCCGUAGCUGGUCUGAGAGGAUGAUCAGCCACACUGGAACUGAGACACGGUCCAGAAUCCUACGGGAGGCAGCAGUGGGGAAUAUUGGACAAUGGGCGCAAGCCUGAUCCAGCCAUACCGCGUGGGUGAAGAAGGCCUUCGGGUUGUAAAGCCCUUUUGUUGGGAAAGAAAUCCAGCUGGCUAAUACCCGGUUGGGAUGACGGUACCCAAAGAAUAAGCACCGGCUAACUUCGUGCCAGCCGCCGCGGUAA
rnacentral:rRNA from 1 species